CUUUCAGAGACAGCGGUUACUACAGUGGACAGUUUAUCAUGUGACAGGGUACAUGAAAUGGUUAAUAUGUAACGUGAACGAUUCCACGCAAAAAUGGGAUUUGACCCCCAAAUCCAAACUAAGCCUUCAGACCUGCAGUCUGAACGUAGCCUAAGAGCCCCUAAUUUAUUCUAAUUGGCAACUAGUUCUCAUGUUUCAGUUCUGCUUUUUUUUUCCUGUCUCCAGUUUACUGGGUGAUUGCUCGUGGGUGGAGCCAACGGCGACACACCUGUUGACCGUGACAAUCAGUCUGGAAUUUUUUGUGUUUCCUGUUUUUGAGGUAUGCUACAGGCUGUACUCACUUUGUGUUAUCCGGUUUGCUUUUCUAAGUCCUUCUUCUGUUAUUUUGUUUGGUUUUCGCUUUAUAGUUUUUAGUAUUUCUUUAUGUUGUUUAGAUGAGAUUCUGUUUUACUAUUUUUAUUCCUUGUGUCAACCUUCAGCUGUCCCUCUGCCAAUCUCUCUUGGUUUAGUUUUUUUUUAGUGCUCGUAGUAUGUGUUUCACACUCAAGGACUUUCGGCAUAAUUGAACAACUUAAGCUGGACGACAAUUACUGCUACUGGUCACUUAAAAAUAGUGGAACGAUGAUCUGCAUCACCUGCACAACCGUCAUCGUAUUUUUGAUGGAUUGUAACACGAGUUUGCUCUCGAAAGAAGUACGGCGUGACGUCGGCGAAGGUCUUGUCUGCGCAACGCUGGCAUGCAAACGGGAGUCCAGAAAGUGCGAGACUGCAAGCCCCCCAGGUACAAGCCUCUUGCCGCAUCAGAGCUGUAACAGAAGACUUAUCCCCCUUCUUCCGCAGGAUCCAGCAAAGUGGGAUAAUGCAGCGGCUGUGUGCACUUUCACACAGCGACACGCCAUCCUGUAAUCUGAUAAUUAGAUGACAUCAUUGCCAGCUUUCGGUGUGUCCAAGUUGCUCUCAAUGCAACGGGGUGGGGAGAGAAAAAAGCCAGCUCGACAUCCUUUCCGUUCCUAGUCUACCCUUUACUUGUUAGUGCUGUCUUUCAUUCCUUUCCUCAAUUUUCCAUGAAGGCAAUUAAGUCAAGUGCCAUUCUUGUAGUUAGAGUUAUCCAAAAUGUCUCUGUUAAGAUGACAAAUUGGCCACUCAGCGGGCUUGCCAAGCUCCUGAUUGAUCGAUUUAAGAGCUGUGUCCCAGUACAGGUAGAGCAUGGAUGAAACUCCUGAACACGAUUCCCUGAGGCCCAAUUAAGAAAGCUGUCUCACUCAACCUGCCUCUGAUUGACCUGCCCACUCAAGUCCGAGACCUCCGUGUUAAUGAGAGACAGAGAAUGGAAGAAUGUGUGGGAGGGCGAUAACGUGUUCUAUUUUAAAAGACGGAAGGCUUGAAUUUAUAAACGGAUGGAGGUACGAACGCACGCACGAGUUACUCACCUCUCGCAAUGGCGAGCAGCGCCAGCAGCAACAUCAGCAGCCAGCCUUCCUCCAUCAUCCUCAUCCUCACCAUCCCCAGCCCGAAAGCGGCUACCUGGCACCCUGACGUCAUGGUGAGCUCCUGCGCCGACGAUGGAGGACCACCAAGAGGGGAGAGGACGCGUGGAAAUCGUCUCGCUGGGGUCCGCAGGAAGCUGGCUUCCCUGCAGCGCUGCAGCUGAGCCUCAGCCUGCUGCCGACUCACGCCACCAUGGUACCAGCUUGCCG